UAGCGCAGUCUGGUAGCGCGCCUGCUUUGGGAGCAGGAUGUCGCAGGUUCGAAUCCUGU
rnacentral:tRNA from 1 species